UACAGAGGGUGCGAGCGUUAAUCGGAAUUACUAGGGCGUAACGUGCGUAGACGGUAGCGUAAGUCAGAAUCGGUGAAAGCCCCGGGCUCAACCUUGGGAAUUGCAUUUGAGACUGCUCUGCUCGGGUGCGGAAGAGGGAAGCGGAAUUUCCGGUGUAGCGGUGAAAUGCGUAGAUAUCGGAAGGAACACCAGUGGCGAAAGCGGCUUCCUGGUCCGACACCGACGUUCAGGCACGAAAGCGUGGGGAGCAAACAGG
rnacentral:rRNA from 1 species